rnacentral:rRNA from 1 species
GCACAUAUUGUGAGCUUGAUGAGUAGGGCGGGACACGUGGUAUCCUGUCUGAAUAUGGGGGGACCAUCCUCCAAGGCUAAAUACUCCUGACUGACCGAUAGUGAACCAGUACCGUGAGGGAAAGGCGAAAAGAACCCCGGCGAGGGGAGUGAAAAAGAACCUGAAACCGUGUACGUACAAGCAGUGGGAGCACGCUUAGGCGUGUGACUGCGUACCUUUUGUAUAAUGGGUCAGCGACUUAUAUUCUGUAGCAAGGUUAACCGAAUAGGGGAGCCGAAGGGAAACCGAGUCUUAACUGGGCGUUAAGUUGCAGGGUAUAGACCCGAAACCCGGUGAUCUAGCCAUGGGCAGGUUGAAGGUUGGGUAACACUAACUGGAGGACCGAACCGACUAAUGUUGAAAAAUUAGCGGAUGACUUGUGGCUGGGGGUGAAAGGCCAAUCAAACCGGGAGAUAGCUGGUUCUCCCCGAAAGCUAUUUAGGUAGCGCCUCGUGAAUUCAUCUCCGGGGGUAGAGCACUGUUUCGGCAAGGGGGUCAUCCCGACUUACCAACCCGAUGCAAACUGCGAAUACCGGAGAAUGUUAUCACGGGAGACACACGGCGGGUGCUAACGUCCGUCGUGAAGAGGGAAACAACCCAGACCGCCAGCUAAGGUCCCAAAGUCAUGGUUAAGUGGGAAACGAUGUGGGAAGGCCCAGACAGCCAGGAUGUUGGCUUAGAAGCAGCCAUCAUUUAAAGAAAGCGUAAUAGCUCACUGGUCGAGUCGGCCUGCGCGGAAGAUGUAACGGGGCUAAACCAU